UAGGUCUUAGCUUUAGAAUUGAAUUCUGACUAUAAACAAAUAUUAUUAGUAUGCAAUACUCAUUUGAUAUCUGAUCCAGAAGGUGAUUUUAUUAGAUUGUUUCAAGCGUUAAUUGAACUAAUUAUUAUUAAUAAAAUAAAACAAAAUAUCACCAAGGAUUAUCCCGAGAGCAAUGUAUCGGUUAUAUUCUGUGGAGAUUUCAACAGUACACCUGAAAGUGGUGUUAAUGAUUUAGUCACCAAUUUAUUAUUACCAGAAGAACAUAGAACGGUAAAAAUGCUAAACGAUUUAAAAAGUAAUCUUGACUUUAAAAUGGAUAGUGCAUAUGAUACUGAUGUCCUGUACAGUAAUUAUACUGAAACUUUUUCCGGUCUUUUAGAUCAUAUAUACUUUACAAAUCAACAUCUCUACCUUAAUGAGGUAUUACCCAUGCCAUCACAUGAUGAUGUUAUCCAAUAUGGAGGAAUUCCGAGCGUAUUAUUUCCUUCAGAUCAUUUAGCUUUAAUUGCAGACUUCGAUGUAAAAUAAUUUAUCUAUUUUAUAAUGAUAUUUUCUUUUAUUAUAUUUAUAUUUUUUAAAUAAUAUUUCUAAUAGUACCUUUAAUUUUGUGUAAUGUUUAUUAUAGUGUUACAAUAACUGUAAAAUUUAAGUAUAUUUUAAAGAUCCGAUUUGUUCUUAUUUUGAAUAGUUUCUGUAUGUAUACAGAUAGGGCCUGGAUUUAUAUGAAAAAAAAAUCCUAAUAUUUAACCAUGUCACUUAUUUCUAUUUUUGGUGUAUGUUAAAAACAUAUAUGCCCAGCGGACCCUUAAUGUUUCUUGUGUGUAUCUGGCUCUGAUUAGUUCUCCAAAGUCUAACACCAUCUACUCUAAUAAAUGGAAUGGCGGAGGAAGUUUUUUUUGACCAUGUAAUAGUCUUAACGCGCAGCAACUGUGCAUUUACCAUUUUACUAACUUGGUGUGUUUGUGUUUAUUGACACUAUAUUCAUAAUCAGAGCCCUUGCACAAUCUUGGAAUUAUUGUAAAAAUAAAUCAAAACAUUCAUUUUAAGUUGUAACUAAAAUUAAUGUUUAUAUUAAGUAUAAAACUUAUGUAUUUAGAACUAAGUAUGUAAAAAUAUGAAACUAUAAAUUUUAGCAUUAUCAUCUGUACAUGAAAUGUUGAAAUGCAUAGAUUUCUAAGAAGAUGCUAUUUUUUAUAUCUGUUUAUUCUAUUUAACACAGUAAAUUUAUAUAUAUUUUUAAUACCGUUGAUUUUGAAUAUUGAAAAAUCAGACUUUUAAAUUAUAAGUACCUAAGUUUUCAGUCCAAGAUUAACAUAAGUACCUAAGCUAUUAAAUUUAGAAUGUAAUUGGUGUAAGUGAUAAUUUAAUCAUAUCUGUGUUUAGAGUAAUUUAAAGAAUUUACUGAAAGAUUAUAUUUAAAUCUGGAAUUGAUGAUAAAUAAACAAAAUACAUUUAAUUA